AGCUGCAGCAGGAAUUCGGCGAAGUGGCGGAGCUGGGGCCCCAGCGGGCGCCGGGGGCCGCGGGAGCCAGCAGGUGGCGGGGGCUGCGCUCCGCCCGGGCCAGAGCGCACCAGGCAGGUGCCCGCGCCUCCGCACCGCGGCGACACCUCCGCGGGCACUCACCCAGGCCGGCCGCUCACAACCGAGCGCAGGGCCGCGGAGGGAGACCAGGAAAGCCGAAGGCGGAGCAGCUGGAGGCGACCAGCGCCGGGCGAGGUCAAGUGGAUCCGAGCCGCAGAGAGGGCUGGAGAGAGUCUGCUCUCCGAUGACUUUGCCCACUCUCUUCGCAGUGGGGACACCGGACCGAGUGCACACUGGAGGUCCCAGAGCACGACGAGCGCGGAGGACCGGGAGGCUCCCGGGCUUGCGUGGAGCCCGCAGCUUCAUCUCCCAGCUCAAACAACACAGCGGCCACAACAGCAGCUAUUGUCCCGGGCUCCCAGCUGAUGCCUUCAAAAUCACCUUCCACAGGAACCACAGAGAUAAGCAGUCAUGAGUCCUCCCACGGCACCCCCUCUCAGACAACAGCCAAGAACUGGGAACUCACAGCAUCCGCCUCCCACCAGCCGCCAGGUGUGUAUCCACAGGGCCACAGCGACACCACUGUGGCUAUCUCCACGUCCACUGUCCUGCUGUGUGGGCUGAGCGCUGUGUCUCUCCUGGCAUGCUACCUCAAGUCAAGGCAAACUCCCCCGCUGGCCAGCGUUGAAAUGGAAGCCAUGGAGGCUCUGCCGGUGACUUGGGGGACCAGCAGCAGAGAUGAAGACUUGGAAAACUGCUCUCACCACCUAUGAAACUCGGGGAAACCAGCCCAGCUAAGUCCGGAGUGAAGGAGCCUCUCUGCUUUAGCUAAAGACGACUGAGAAGAGGUGCAAGGAAGCGGGCUCCAGGAGCAAGCUCACCAGGCCUCUCAGAAGUCCCAGCAGGAUCUCACGGACUGCCGGGUCGGCGCCUCCUGCGCGAGGGAGCAGGUUCUCCGCAUUCCCAUGGGCACCACCUGCCUGCCUGUCGUGCCUUGGACCCAGGGCCCAGCUUCCCAGGAGAGACCAAAGGCUUCUGAGCAGGAUUUUUAUUUCAUUACAGUGUGAGCUGCCUGGAAUACAUGUGGUAAUGAAAUAAAAACCCUGCCCCGAAUCUUCCGUCCCUCAUCCUAACUUUCAGUUCACAGAGAAAAGUGACAUACCCAAAGCUCUCUGUCAAUUACAAGGCUUCUCCUGGCGUGGGAGACGUCUACAGGGAAGACACCAGCGUUUGGGCUUCUAACCACCCUGUCUCCAGCUGCUCUGCACACAUGGACAGGGACCUGGGAAAGGUGGGAGAGAUGCUGAGCCCAGCGAAUCCUCUCCAUUGAAGGAUUCAGGAAGAAGAAAACUCAACUCAGUGCCAUUUUACGAAUAUAUGCGUUUAUAUUUAUACUUCCUUGUCUAUUAUAUCUAUACAUUAUAUAUUAUUUGUAUUUUGACAUUGUACCUUGUAUAAACAAAAUAAAACAUCUAUUUUCAAUAUUUUUAAAAUGCA
rnacentral:lncRNA from 1 species